GCCAGCAUGGUACAGUGGUUUGAAUACUGGAUUAUGACUCUGGAGGCCAGGGUUCGAAUCCCAGCUCAGCCA